rnacentral:rRNA from 1 species
AUUGAACGCUGGCGGCAUGCUUUACACAUGCAAGUCGAACGGUAACAGGCCGCAAGGUGCUGACGAGUGGCGAACGGGUGAGUAAUGCAUCGGAACGUGCCCAGUCGUGGGGGAUAACUACUCGCAAGAGUAGCUAAUACCGCAUACGAUCUAUGGAUGAAAGCGGGGGACCGUAAGGCCUCGCGCGAUUGGAGCGGCCGAUGUCAGAUUAGGUAGUUGGUGGGGUAAAGGCUCACCAAGCCAACGAUCUGUAGCUGGUCUGAGAGGACGACCAGCCACACUGGGACUGAGACACGGCCCAGACGCCUACGGGAGGCAGCAGUGGGGAAUGUUGGACAAUGGGCGCAAGCCUGAUCCAGCAAUGCCGCGUGCAGGAAGAAGGCCUUCGGGUUGUAAACUGCUUUUGUACGGAACGAAACGGCUCUGGUUAAUACCCGGGGCUAAUGACGGUACCGUAAGAAUAAGCACCGGCUAACUACGUG